AUACGUAGGGGGCGAGCGUUGUCCGGAAUCAUUGGGCGUAAAGAGCGUGUAGGCGGCCCGGUAAGUCCGCUGUGAAAACCCGGGGCUCAACCCCGGGCGUGCAGUGGAAACUGCCGGGCUAGAGGGCGGCAGAGGCGAGUGGAAUUCCCGGUGUAGCGGUGAAAUGCGCAGAUAUCGGGAGGAACACCGGUAGCGAAGGCGGCUCGCUGGGCCGUUCCUGACGCUGAGACGCGAAAGCUAGGGGAGC
rnacentral:rRNA from 1 species